rnacentral:rRNA from 1 species
UACAGAGGGUGCGAGCGUUAAUCGGAAUUACUGGGCGUAAAGCGUGCGUAGACGGCUAUCUAAGUCGGGUGUGAAAGCCCCGGGCUCAACCUGGGAAUUGCAUUCGAGACUGAAUAGCUAGGGUACGGUAGAGGGAAGUGGAAUUUCCGGUGUAGCGGUGAAAUGCGUAGAUAUCGGAAGGAACAUCAGUGGCGAAAGCGACUUCCUGGACCAGUACCGACGUUCAGGCACGAAAGCGUGGGAGCAAACAGG